rnacentral:rRNA from 1 species
CGAACGCUGGCGGCGUGCUUAACACAUGCAAGUCGAACGGAAAGGCCCUGCUUUUGUGGGGUGCUCGAGUGGCGAACGGGUGAGUAACACGUGAGUAACCUGCCCUUGACUUUGGGAUAACUUCAGGAAACUGGGGCUAAUACCGGAUAGGAGCUCCUGCUGCAUGGUGGGGGUUGGAAAGUUUCGGCGGUUGGGGAUGGACUCGCGGCUUAUCAGCUUGUUGGUGGGGUAGUGGCUUACCAAGGCUUUGACGGGUAGCCGGCCUGAGAGGGUGACCGGCCACAUUGGGACUGAGAUACGGCCCAGACUCCUACGGGAGGCAGCAGUGGGGAAUAUUGCACAAUGGGCGGAAGCCUGAUGCAGCAACGCCGCGUGCGGGAUGACGGCCUUCGGGCUGUAAACCGCUUUCGCCUGUGACGAAGCGUGAGUGACGGUAAUGGGUAAAGAAGCACCGGCUAACUACGG